AGGUGGAAGAAGAGAGGAAGGCUAGCCUGAAACUUCAAACAAUUUAAAUCCAGGCUAGCCUUCCUCUCUUCUUCCACU